ACGGAAGGCAGCAGUGGGGAAUAUUGGGCAAUGGGCGAAAGCCUGACCCAGCAACGCCGCGUGAGGGAAGAAGGUCUUCGGAUUGUAAACUUCUUUCAUGUAGGACGAAGGAAGUGACGGUCCUACAUGAAUAAGCCACGGCUAACUACGUGCCAGCAGCCGCGGUAAUACGUAGGUGGCAAGCGUUAUCCGGAUUUACUGGGUGUAAAGGGCGCGUAGGCGGGGAUGCAAGUCAGAUGUGAAAUCCAUGGGCUCAACUCAUGAACUGCAUUUGAAACUGUAUCUCUUGAGUGCUGGAGAGGUAGAUGGAAUUCCUAGUGUAGCGGUGAAAUGCGUAGAUAUUAGGAGGAACAUCAGUGGCGAAGGCGGCUUACUGGGCUUUAACUGACGCUGAGGCUCGAAAGCGUGGGGAGCAAACAGGAUUAGAUACCCUGGUA
rnacentral:rRNA from 1 species